rnacentral:rRNA from 1 species
UACGUAGGGUGCAAGCGUUGUCCGGAAUUAUUGGGCGUAAAGAGCUCGUAGGCGGUCUGUCACGUCGGCUGUGAAAACCUGGGGCUCAACUCCGGGCCUGCAGCCGAUACGGGCAGACUAGAGUUCGGCAGGGGAGACUGGAAUUCCUGGUGUAGCGGUGGAAUGCGCAGAUAUCAGGAGGAACACCGAUGGCGAAGGCAGGUCUCUGGGCCAUUACUGACACUGAGAAGCGAAAGCAUGGGGAGCGAACAGG